rnacentral:rRNA from 1 species
UACGUAGGGUGCGAGCGUUAAUCGGAAUUACUGGGCGGAAAGCGUGCGCAGGCGGUUUUGUAAGCCAGAUGUGAAAUCCCCGGGCUCAACCUGGGAAUGGCAUUUGGGACUGCAAGGCUGGAGUGCGGCAGAGGAGACUGGAAUUCCUGGUGUAGCAGUGAAAUGCGUAGAUAUCAGGAGGAACACCGGUGGCGAAGGCGGUGGUCUGGGCCGGAACUGACGCUGAGGAGCGAAAGCGUGGGGAGCGAACAGG